rnacentral:rRNA from 1 species
UACGUAGGGGGCAAGCGUUGUCCGGAUUUACUGGGCGUAAAGAGCGUGUAGGCGGCCAAGCAGGUCCGUUGUGAAAACUGGAGGCUUAACCUCCAGACGUCGACGGAAACCGCGUGGCUAGAGUCCGGAAGAGGAGAGUGGAAUUCCUGGUGUAGCGGUGAAAUGCGCAGAUAUCAGGAAGAACACCAAUGGCGAAGGCAGCUCUCUGGGACGGUACUGACGCUGAGACGCGAAAGCGUGGGGAGCGAAUGGG